UUCAAUCUAGGUACAACAAUAAAACAUCCAUACCAAAUUCAAAUGUCUCGGGACGAUGAUAUCGAUGAUGAUACUUACAUGGGUUACCGCUAUACUACCUGUCCAGACUGUGAGAGAGAAAUACCAAAUGAGCCUACGAAAAAGGAGUUUGCAGAAAUGAUGCGGGAGGCGAAUCAGCGUGUCUUGAAAGCAAUGAAAAUNAUCUUACUGGCGUCAAUAUGAGCAUGGUAAGAUUAGCAAGGAUGGAGUCAGGACUCUAGUGCAAGCAGUUGAAGUGGCUACUGAUGCAGAAGAUGGACGAAUCAACUUGGAUCAACUGGGAAAUUUAUGGAAACCAAAGGCGUAUGCAGUAUGGCUUCGUCGUAAGUUAGUAGACAUGAUGAUGCCAGACCCUGCAAAUGCCCAAAUACCACGAACACCAUGGCGUCAGUGUUGUUUCACCCUAGUUUCUAGUAUGUGGUUUG
rnacentral:lncRNA from 1 species